rnacentral:lncRNA from 1 species
UAAGGCAUGCUUGGGGCAGGGGUGUUACAUCAAGAUGCAGCACAGGAGGUGAUACCUAGCAGUUGGGAUUAAGGCUUAGCCAUGUUGGUACACUUUUAUUAGGUCUGGUAUUUACUGGAAGUUCUUUUAGUUUAUUUGCAGAUUAGAAAAAAAUUAGAGAUCCUCUAGUGUCAAAGAACCCCUAAUAUGAAUUCAAAUACAAAUUAUUAAGUAUCUGAAUGAAACUGGUCCAAAUGGAUCGUAAUGGAUAGUGAGGAUUCAUACAACCGACCAACUACUUUAGGAUGGAGGUGUUGUUGUCGUCAUCAUCGUCAUUUUCUUCUUUUGAUGAUGGACCAACUAGUUAACAUUCUCCCCGGUUAUAAGACAACGUUUUACCUCAAAGCAGUGAAGUAAAAGAAAAAGCGAAGCAUUUUCUUUUGUGUUUAUAUAAAAACAAAUAAAAAGAGAAUUUAAUAAGAGGAAGUACCAUCUUUCUCAAAAAAUAAGAGGAAGUUCUUUAUUUUAUGAGAUACCUGCCCUGCUGCCUACAUAGGUGGUUGCAACUUUUCUUCAAAAUAGUGCAACUUCUAUAGUUCUUACUUCGCUAGAAACAGAAAGCGCUUUAAUCAUUGGGGAAUUUUUUGUUUUUGGUCCCUUGCCUUUUCGAUAUCCAAGUUAAUGCAGAAAGUAACCAUUACCCUACUUAUUUCCCUUGUCCAGCAGCAUGAUGGAAACUAUGUAACAGUGAUAUUGCCAUUUAUAUUCUUUCAUAUAAUUCGAGUGUCAUUUCAUUAAAAUGCAUUAUCUGUCCUACUCCUUCUGCCCUUAGGAUGUAGACCGGACAAAUCGACUUUGUGCUGCCAGAACAGAAGUCAGAAAGUUCUUAAAUGGCUACAAUAGUAUUAUAACAUUUUGGAUGCAUGAAAUGGUAAACAUCUGUUAAGCCUUUCAUUAGGCCUAGCCAUCCGAGUAAUUACCCCAUCUGAGGUUUUAAUUAUCAGUUAAUGUUGGCUGUACCAAAACCAAAUAAAUAAAUUAAAAUGGCGGUUGCUGGCUUUCGUUCUUUUUGUUCUAGAAUCACUGUCACAAUCAUGUAACUCCUGUCCAAAAUUGACGUGAUGUAGUUUUUAUGGCUAAUUUCUUUGGGUUGGGGUGGGGGUGGGGGUGGAUAUUAUAUCGGACAUUGAUUAAUAUAUGUUCUGAAAUAAAAGCAUAGAUAUUGCUACUGCCUGAAAAAUACCAUUGACACUUGAUUUAGAGUAGUCACAUAAAAUAUAAUUAAAGAAGAGUAUGGUCAAAGGAGGAUGGUGUAAAUAGUAACAUGGUCAAUUGAAUUGAUAACGACAAGUAUCUAAUAACCUAAAGGUGCUAUUGCAAAAUGAUUCUUCUGUUAUUUGUUUCAAUUAUUCUCUUCAUUAAUUUCUAAUCACGUUAUUUGUUCUUUUCUUGAUCCAGGUUUGGAAUUAUGGGUCUUGUGACUAACUACAUGGGUGUUGGGCCUCGGUCAGGCAAGAAAACUUGAUUGAAAUUGUAUUAAGGCACUUGCCCUUGUUUUUGAGGAUAUUAGAAAUGUUGAACUCGAGUAUGAUGCUCUAGGGCCUUAGGGAUUUGUACUGUUGUUUUUAUGAUUAUGAGAAUAUUUGAAUAUGCAAGC